AUCGUUAACUGAAUACAUAGGUUAACGAGGCGAACCGGGGGAACUGAAACAUCUAAGUACCCCGAGGAAAAGAAAUCAACCGAGAUUCCCCCAGUAGCGGCGAGCGAACGGGGAGCAGCCCAGAGUCUGAAUCAGCUUGUGUGUUAGUGGAACGGUCUGGAAAGUCCGACGGUACAGGGUGAUAGUCCCGUACACCAAAAUGCACAGGCUGUGAACUCGAAGAGUAGGGCGGGACACGUGGUAUCCUGUCUGAAUAUGGGGGGACCAUCCUCCAAGGC
rnacentral:rRNA from 1 species